AGAGUUUGAUCAUGGCUCAGAUUGAACGCUGGCGGCAGGCCUAACACAUGCAAGUCGAACGGUAACAGGAAACAGCUUGCUGUUUCGCUGACGAGUGGCGGACGGGUGAGUAAUGUCUGGGAAACUGCCUGAUGGAGGGGGAUAACUACUGGAAACGGUAGCUAAUACCGCAUAACGUCGCAAGACCAAAGAGGGGGACCUUCGGGCCUCUUGCCAUCGGAUGUGCCCAGAUGGGAUUAGCUUGUUGGUGGGGUAACGGCUCACCAAGGCGACGAUCCCUAGCUGGUCUGAGAGGAUGACCAGCCACACUGGAACUGAGACACGGUCCAGACUCCUACGGGAGGCAGCAGUGGGGAAUAUUGCACAAUGGGCGCAAGCCUGAUGCAGCCAUGCCGCGUGUAUGAAGAAGGCCUUCGGGUUGUAAAGUACUUUCAGCGGGGAGGAAGGGAGUAAAGUUAAUACCUUUGCUCAUUGACGUUACCCGCAGAAGAAGCACCGGCUAACUCCGUGCCAGCAGCCGCGGUAAUACGGAGGGUGCAAGCGUUAAUCGGAAUUACUGGGCGUAAAGCGCACGCAGGCGGUUUGUUAAGUCAGAUGUGAAAUCCCCGGGCUCAACCUGGGAACUGCAUCUGAUACUGGCAAGCUUGAGUCUCGUAGAGGGGGGUAGAAUUCCAGGUGUAGCGGUGAAAUGCGUAGAGAUCUGGAGGAAUACCGAUGGCGAAGGCGGCCCCCUGGACGAAGACUGACGCUCAGGUGCGAAAGCGUGGGGAGCAAACAGGAUUAGAUACCCUGGUAGUCCACGCCGUAAACGAUGUCGACUUGGAGGUUGUGCCCUUGAGGCGUGGCUUCCGGAGCUAACGCGUUAAGUCGACCGCCUGGGGAGUACGGCCGCAAGGUUAAAACUCAAAUGAAUUGACGGGGGCCCGCACAAGCGGUGGAGCAUGUGGUUUAAUUCGAUGCAACGCGAAGAACCUUACCUGGUCUUGACAUCCACGGAAGUUUUCAGAGAUGAGAAUGUGCCUUCGGGAACCGUGAGACAGGUGCUGCAUGGCUGUCGUCAGCUCGUGUUGUGAAAUGUUGGGUUAAGUCCCGCAACGAGCGCAACCCUUAUCCUUUGUUGCCAGCGGUCCGGCCGGGAACUCAAAGGAGACUGCCAGUGAUAAACUGGAGGAAGGUGGGGAUGACGUCAAGUCAUCAUGGCCCUUACGACCAGGGCUACACACGUGCUACAAUGGCGCAUACAAAGAGAAGCGACCUCGCGAGAGCAAGCGGACCUCAUAAAGUGCGUCGUAGUCCGGAUUGGAGUCUGCAACUCGACUCCAUGAAGUCGGAAUCGCUAGUAAUCGUGGAUCAGAAUGCCACGGUGAAUACGUUCCCGGGCCUUGUACACACCGCCCGUCACACCAUGGGAGUGGGUUGCAAAAGAAGUAGGUAGCUUAACCUUCGGGAGGGCGCUUACCACUUUGUGAUUCAUGACUGGGGUGAAGUCGUAACAAGGUAACCGUAGGGGAACCUGCGGUUGGAUCACCU
rnacentral:rRNA from 1 species